GAUGAACGCUGGCGGCGUGCCUAAUACAUGCAAGUCGAGCGAACAGAUGAGGAGCUUGCUCCUCUGACGUUAGCGGCGGACGGGUGAGUAACACGUGGAUAACCUACCUAUAAGACUGGGAUAACUUCGGGAAACCGGAGCUAAUACCGGAUAAUAUAUUGAACCGCAUGGCUCAAUAGUGAAAGACGGUUUUGCUGUCACUUAUAGAUGGAUCCGCGCCGCAUUAGCUAGUUGGUAAGGUAACGGCUUACCAAGGCAACGAUGCGUAGCCGACCUGAGAGGGUGAUCGGCCACAAUGGAACUGAGACACGGUCCAGACUCCUACGGGGGGCAGCAGGAGGGAAUCUUCCGCAAUGGGCGAAAGCCUGACGGAGCAACGCCGGGUGAGGGAUGAAGGUCUUCGGAUCGUAAAACUCUGUUAUUAGGGAAAAACAAAUGUGUAAGUAACUAUGCACGUCUUGACGGUACCUAAUCAGAAAGCCACGGCUAACUACGUG
rnacentral:rRNA from 1 species